AGUGAACGCUGGCGGCGUGCUUAACACAUGCAAGUCGAACGAGAACGGGCUAUAGCUUGCUAUAGUUGUCAGCUAAGUGGCGCACGGGUGAGUAAUGUAUAGGUAAUAUGCCUCUUACUAAGGGAUAACAAAUGGAAACGUUUGCUAAUACCUUAUACUCCUUAUUAACCUAAGUUAAUAAGGGAAAGAUUUAUUGGUAAGAGAUUAGCCUGUAUUGUAUCAGUUAGUUGGUGGGGUAAUGGCUUACCAAGACUAUGACACAUAACUGGUUUGAGAGGAUGAUCAGUCACACUGGAACUGAGACACGGUCCAGACUCCUACGGGAGGCAGCAGUGGGGAGUAUUGCACAAUGGACGAAAGUCUGAUGCAGCAACGCCGCGUGGAGGAUGACACAUUUCGGUGCGUAAACUCCUUUUAUAUGAGAAGAUAAUGACGGUAUUAUAUGAAUAAGCACCGGCUAACUCCGUGCCAGCAGCCGCAGUAA
rnacentral:rRNA from 1 species